UAAGGCUAGCGCUAAGUCAGAAUGUAGAAAAUGGAAUCAGAUCAAAGUCGUAAUGUAGAGAAUUAAACCUCAGUUUUUGGUUCAGUCCGACAGUUUAUAACGCAGUCCAGAGGAACUUUGAAAUAUUUAUUUGAGGUCUCGUAUUUUCUGGUCGUGGCCAAGAUGCUCUUGUUUCUAUUUUUAAUGUCGUUUAGUGGUCUAGGUGUUAACGCGGAAGGGAAUACGACAGUGGGCGUUAGCUCGAAUCUCACCUGGUGGCAGAAGGGAGUGUUUUAUCAGAUCUACCCACGAUCUUUCCAGGACUCGAACGGAGAUGGUGUUGGUGAUUUGAAAGGUAUCACUACAAGAAUCGGCUACCUGAAAGACCUUGGUAUCGACUGUGUCUGGCUGAGUCCAAUCUGUCGAUCUCCCAUGAAGGACUUCGGUUACGAUUGUUCUGAUGCGGAAGAUGUGGAUCCAAUCUUUGGAAAUCUAGAAGACUUCAAGGAACUUUUAGCUGAAGUCCACAAUCAAGGUCUGAAGCUAAUUGUA
rnacentral:sRNA from 1 species